rnacentral:rRNA from 1 species
UUUAAGUUUCAGUCUUGCGACCGUACUCCCCAGGCGGCGAGCUUAAUGGCUUCCCUGCGACACUCCAGUCGCGAUUUGCGAUUGGAUCAUCUAGCUCGCAUCGUUUACGGCUGGGACUACCCGGGUAUCUAAUCCGGUUCGCUCCCCCAGCUUUCAUCCCUCACCGUCGAGCGCGUUCUGGUGGACCGCCUUCGCCAUUCACCGUGCUUGUGGUCAUUAACCGCAAGCAAUCUGGUGGUCUUCCACGGAUCAAAGGAUUUUACCCCUACACGUGGAGUACCGUCCACCUCUCCCGCCUCCUAGUCCCGCGGUAUCUCCUGCGGGCCAAUCGUUGAGCGACUG